CGUGAGGAACCUGCCUUCCAGAGGGGGGACAACAGUUGGAAACGACUGCUAAUACCGCAUGAUGCAUUGAAGUCGCAUGGCUUUGAUGUCAAAGAUUUAUCGCUGGAAGAUGGCCUCGCGUCUGAUUAGCUAGUUGGUGAGGUAACGGCCCACCAAGGCGACGAUCAGUAGCCGGACUGAGAGGUUGGCCGGCCACAUUGGGACUGAGAUACGGCCCAGACUCCUACGGAAGGCAGCAG
rnacentral:rRNA from 1 species